GAAGGAAGGAAGGAAGGAAGGAAGGAAGGAAGGAAGGAAGGAAGGAAGGAGGGAGGGAAGGAAAGAAGGAAGGAAGAAAGAAGGAAGGAAGGGUAGGCUGUUUAGAAACCAGGCAUAACACGUGGUAAUCAUGGAAUCACAUACACCUGCCUGCUAGUUUCACCAAGCUAUUACAGAAAAGUUAGUAACCUUUCACAAGUACAUUUCCUAAGUCUCCAGUCCCUUGUUUGUUGAAUGAAGAGCUUCCAAUUCCUUCCAGCUCAGUGUCCCAGAGAAGAGCCACACAUGCUUUCCAACCAGAUAAGCACACACCAAAAAUAUCAAACCAUCAGACUGGAAUGGGAAAACCUUUUUUGUUUUGUUUUUAGAGACACCGUCAUUAAGAUAAUUCAUUACAUUUGCUUCUUUUGUGUGUGUUCCUGUAUGUGUGAAGGUGCCCACAUGCCACCCCACACAUGUAGAAGGCAGGGGAUAACUUUGGGGAGUGGGCUCUCUCCUUUCAUCAUGUGGGCUGCAGGGACCAGACUCAGGACAUUUGGAGACAAAUGCCUUUACCCACUGAGCUCUCUCACUCACUGGCCACCUACUGGCUAGUGAUGGCUAUUUCUAGCUGUGACUAUUUGCUUCUCAGAGGGACAAUUCCUCCUAGUGCUUUGCUUUCCAGUUUAGAACCAGGGUAUAAUAAAAUACAACUACAGCAAAUAACGUUGUGAGACGUUUUGGAAAGUUAGGGAUUUGAAUAUGAAAUGUAAGUAAAAUAGCCACAGAGGCAGUAAUGACUGCAAUAAGUGAGUACACAUGGGAAACCAGAAGAGCGUGGGAGAUAAGUUACAAGGUCCACCUGCAUCUGUUUCUAGAGAAACGAGAGAGGCCGCUAGGCAGGAGAGAGGAACUUCUGACAGCACACCUUUUUAUGAUCACAGUGCUCUCGGGCUCCUCGGGGGCCUUGCACAUGCUCAGAUAUUAAUGCCUGAGUAAACAAUGGCCAUUUGAUGUUUCUUACCACCCUCCCCGGCUUUCUCCCCACCACAGGCUGGCUUCCAGCUCUCUGCUCCUUUUAUUGUGUCCUGUGCUUCUAGUCCUAUACCCACGAUAGGGACCAAUGCCCCCCUGGUCCUUACCUUCACCGUCCUUUUGCCCCUUGUGUCACUGUGUUUGAAGAGGCUACUCGUCUCCCUCCAAUUUUCCUCCUCUAUUUUCCCUCACUAACUUUUUCAAGGUCUUCAAGUGAGUAGGUCUCCGUAUAGAUCCCUCCUCUUGGGAACUCACAGCAGUACAGUUGCCUCAUCUUGCAGAAGUCAUUUUCACUAUCAAUCACCACGAAGGCCAAGCACAGUGUUCAGUAUAUUACGGUCGCCAUCUCUUUUGCCAGCAGCCCUCUGCAGUGGACCUCAAUAGUUCAAUAGGCACACUUCUGGUAGGAGCAGGACCAAGAACUUGGGAGCGGCCUUUCUGGUACAAAUCUCAUCUACCUAUGUGUAUAUCAGUGGUUAUGGCCGUGUAACCAAUUACUCUAGGACACAAUACCCUCUAACAGUCAUGUACACCCAUGUAACCAAUUACCCAGAACACAAUAGCCUGAACAGUCAUGUUGCCCACUCAUCUGCAAUCAGUCAGCAUCUGGCGAAGGUGACACCUCCACUCUGUGGGGAGCAGCUCCUGUGGUGUCUCAAGGCCCCAUGGUGGAGAAGACGCCAUUGUGUGGUGAACAGAUUGGCAGAGGCUGUUGGCUAGGAACUAAGGAGCUGGGAAGUGGGGGAUCUCAGUUCCUUUCUGUGAGGAGCCGCACUCACAUUCGCCAUUACAAGAUGGCGCUGACAUCCGCUGCCAGAUCAAGUAAACAACGUUGGUAUCCAUGUGCCCAGUGUUUUUCCACUGCCUAGCCCUGCCUAUUCCAUGGCGUCAUAUAGGGUGACGAGUCAUGCACCUAUCCCAGCUGUACACGCAUCGCUCAGAGUUUGUGAGCCUUUAUUAGGGGAUGGAAUUCUUGGCUCAGGGUCUCUGCUCUGGUAAGCUUAUGCUCUCCUCUCAAGACGCAUUAAAGCUUUACUGCAGAAGGAUCCGAAUGUCCUGUGUGGUUCUUGCCGGCAAGACAGUCUCGCGGGACAUCUGGUGCCGAAACCCGGGAACUUGUUAACAUCGCCGGCACCUCGGAGACCCCUCGGACAGGGCGGAUUCAGAACUGCAGGGUGGUAAAUUCGGAGAGAUGACCAUCAGUUGGCCUACCAAGAGGCAUUCUCUAAACACUGACU
ensembl:lncRNA